UACGUAGGGGGCAAGCGUUGUCCGGAUUUAUUGGGCGUAAAGAGCGUGUAGGCGGUUUGGUAGGUCCGUUGUGAAAACUCGAGGCUCAACCUCGAGACGCCGAUGGAAACCAUCAGACUAGAGUCCGGAAGAGGAGAGUGGAAUUCCUGGUGUAGCGGUGGAAUGCGCAGAUAUCAGGAGGAACACCAAUAGCGAAGGCAGCUCGCUGGGACGUUACUGACACUGAGGCGCGAAAGCGUGGGGAGCGAACAGG
rnacentral:rRNA from 1 species